rnacentral:lncRNA from 1 species
UUUACAGAUCUGGCAGCACGAUCCCCAUUUUAUACCCUAACCUCGCCAGGAAAAAAUGCUCAAACGUCAAAUUCGAAUAAUCUUUCUUUACUCUCUAUUAGGUUAAAUUGCAUUUCUAUUUAAAUCACUGCUUGAGGAUUUCUAAAGAAAAUUUGGUUCCAAUAGUGGACAUUGUUGCAGCACAAGAUUUUAUGCACAGUAUUGGGCGAUGAAGCAGUAAAACACGCGGCGAGAGGUUGAGAAGCAAAGUCCCAGAAUCACGAUCCAACAGAUGAGUUUUUUCUUCCUCUGAUUGGCAAUUUUUGGAUUAAUGAGCAUUGUUGAUGCAAUUUUUAGCCAGGUUUGUGUCAAUGAUAAAGAAAAUUGCAUUGCAUUUAUUUAAUAUGGUGCAUAUUACAUUAGUGUUACAUGGAAUGACUUUCUACAGAAUUUCUUAUGUUGCCAUAUAAUGUUGGCAAUUCGGACCUCUGGGAUUAAGAAUGUAAGGUGAAUUCUUUAAACACCUUUUCAAUUGUUUGGUCAUGGUAUUCCAUAACGUACCUUGAGCUGAGCGAUAAUUUACUAAGUUGUUUCGCAAAACAAUGCGACUCUUGGAAUAUUUUAAAGAGUCAUUUGGUCGGGGGCAAUUACCAAAUUUUGAUGUAUUUGUCCAACUAUGAAGUCGUGGGAAUCCGCAUCCUUUGCCAGGACCAAGUGACAACAUAUAAACAAAGGAAGCACAUUUAUCUUUUAGAUGGAAAAUAAACAGUGGCCAUAGGCCAUAACUGAUAGAUGCCACCUGAUAGAUGCCACAUUAUUCUUUGAAACGGAUUUCGCUUGCUAAGGGCGAAUGUGCUACAGAUUAUGAUUUUUGAUUUUGUUAGGAAAAAUGGUUUCUAACUAUUCUUGAAAUGCAUCAGAUAAAUGUGUGGAUAAUGCAAGUAUAACCUCUCAAUGUUCUGGAAUUGCUUGUUAGUUUAUUAUGUAUUUAAGUUUUCUGCUGCAUUUUAUACAUGUAUGGCAUAACUAGGAAGAGCAAUAAACCACAGCAGGGCACCCUAUUAAGCAUGAAAGUUAUGAAGUUCUCUUCAUCAUGAUGUUAGUAGCGUUAGAUGCAUUAACUUUACUAAAUAGAAAUACUUCCAUGAGACAUGGAACAUCUUAUAUGUGCAAACACUUGUCAUAACAGUUAUAGUUGUAAAUUUGAGUUUUUAAUAUUGUUCCAUGUUUUGUAUUCAUAAGCAUAUACUAUAAAACAAAUUAAUGAUGGAUUAUUUCUAUUGAUUUGGCAUAUUUUAAAUCUUAUUAGGAGUUUAGAUUUAUAACAUGUCCAAGGAGGUAUGGCUAAAGCACACAUUCAAUGAUCACCUGAGAACAACCUCACCUCGCCGUUGAAAUAUCAAAGGUGAGGUCAAUGAGUAAGGUACUUCGUCUUGUGAUUUGCAGGCAUGGUGAGCAUAUCCCAUCAGGAGGGAAGUGCUCGUUACAUGUAAUAUUCUAGAGAUAAACGUCGAGCCUAAUACUCUUAAUAGAUUUGUAAAAAUUAUUGUUGAUGUUACUUGUAGGAAUAUCAUUGAAAGCCUCCCUAAGUGAGUGAUGGAAGUUAGACAACUUUCUUUGAGUUUGUGGCUUUAACUCUAAGAUUGUUAUGAUACGAGGAUAAAAACGCAAGGCCUUUAACAGAUUGACUUAUAUGAAUGCCAAGGGAUUAGAAGCCUUUGUGUGAAACACGUCUGGCUAGGUUAUAUAACAUCUGUAAUUCAAAGAUAAGUUUACUAUGCUUCUUUGGUUAGCUUUGAGAAGUUCAUAAGUAGAUGUUCAAGUUGAGACAUGCUCAUUUAUUCACGAAUUCCUUUGUUUGCUACAGUUAAGUUUUAUUUUGUAGUAGUGGAGAAUUGCUGGAACAAUUUCAUAAGUAAUAUAAAGGAAUUGGUUGGUUCAUAUAUAUAUUACAAGCUAAAUAGAUUCACAAGUGUCAUUCUUCAUGACUCUCAGGACUUCAAAAAGGUCCUAAAAUUUGGUAUUUCCCCUUACACUUUGGGAUGAUUCAGAUUGUAGGAGAUAGUUUUUCAAUUUUUGUUUCUAGUAUCAUACGGGUAAUACCUGUUAAUAAGCCAAUUCUCAUAAAAAGUCAUAGGAUGAAUCAUUGAAUCUGCACUCUAACUCCAAUAAGUCAUAUAUCACUUCAUUAUAUACAAAACAUACGAAAUUGUCUUUGAAUGAUUGAUAAAUAUAACAGCUAGUCUACUGCUGCUAAACCCUCAACACUGAGUUCCCAUAUGUAGGGAGCUCCACUCUGAUAAAAAUGAUUAACAAAUAAGAUUAUAGUCCAACACAUUGAACCACAAUUUGCUACUGUUUGUGAAUGCAAAUAAAUUCAACCAAUUAAAAGAUGCAUGUGCCUGUCGCACGCAAUCCAUUUCAAAGAAAUAAGUGCAAAUCAAAUGAGGAUACAUUGGUUUCAUCAGCUCAUACAGGCCUUUGAGGCUCUCUUUAAUUUCUGAAGCAAGACUCACCUCUGAGUCAUUUGGUCAUGGAGAUAGACACCAGAGACCUUUGCCAUUGUUGGAGCGAAAGGAAUAAAAUUUUGAAUACAAUCUGCUGGUUCCUGAACCAGUCCUAUUUUCCUCCAGGAUCUGGUCGAUAUAUUGUGCAUGUGGAUCUCUCCGUCUUCUCCUUUCUUUCUCAAAAGAAAAGACAGUCUUUUGCCGUCAAAAAACAUUGGAAUACCAUACCUGUAGUCAUUGUUUCCUGUGUUACUUAUAUUUUCAAUAAUAUGCCUGAUUUUCCAUUCUUUGUUUUCAUAAUGAUAAAUAGAGAUGACAUUUUCUUCUUGAAAAGCACUCACAAAUGCAAGCGAACCUUGGACCCCACCAAACCAUAUGGCAUAUCCUAAGAAGCACCGACACGGAUACGAGUGUGAAAUGUGUUGGACACGCCGACACGUGAUUUUUUAAAAAGGUUCCGACACGAUAUGUCGCCAACACAUUGAUUACAUUUUUUAGUUUAUUUUAAUUUUAUAGUCUAAAGUAAUAAUUUUUUAUACUUAUUGAAUCAUAUAUAUAAUGAUAAAUAGAAAUCAAACUUGAUAUUAAAUUCAUAAAUGUUUCUUAAUAACAUAAGUUCAAAAAGUAAAACUAAAUUAACUACAUCAUUCAUCUUGAAUCUCUUCAACAUCUUCAUCUCCAUCCGCAAAUACUAUCGCCUCCAAUUCCGGUUCGUCUAGAGAUAAAUUAGCAACUUCAAACACACCAACAUCUUCAAAUGUAUCAAAUGGAUCUCCACCAAUGUCCCACAUUUUAGUCUCUUCUUGUGAGUAUUGCGCACUCCUCCUUAACAAGAGAUGAAGAUUGCUAUGGACGAAAACCAAACCUUUUGCACGUUUUGGAGUUAGCUUAUUUCGUUUAAGAGAGUGCAAAAAGGAAUAAGUACUACAAUUUUGCUCACAACACGAUGAAGAAGAUGGUUGCCCCAAUAAUUUCAAGGCAUAACUUUGAAGUAUAGGUGUGCAAGCACCAUAAAUAACCCACCUAGUCUUCGGGUCCAAGCAGUAACGAUCAUGGAUGGAUUCAAAAUCACCAAAGUCAUCUUCCAUAGUCGAGAAUUUGGCAUACUCCUUAUUCACCAUAUUACGCUUUUCAUUUGACAAGUACCUCUUACAAAAUUUUAUUCUUUCUUUUGAAAUCUCUACAUCUCUAUGUGGAGCAAGUCGAGUGGGAUCCUCAUUUAGCCAAUCCUCGCUAUAGUACCUAAACAAGACAAAAAAAUUAAAGAAAUAAUGCCCUUGUUUGAGCCCCAUUUUUUGGGAUAUAAUGAAUUUUUGAAUAGUGUAUUGAUGGGAAAUGUGUGGUUAAAAAAUAACGAAAAAUUUUGAAUUUACGUGUAAUAUUAUUUUAUUGAAAAGUGUGUGGUUGAAAUGAUGUCAAAACACUGUUGAAAAAUAUAUUUUUUCAAAAGAAUGAAGCUCAAACAAGGGCAAUAAUUCAUACAAUAACUAACGAAAAAUAUUAAAAAUUAUGAAAAUGUAAAUAAAAAAUAAAUGUAUGAAUUAGAUUUAAAAGUUACCUUGGAUUUAGAGAAUGAGACAAGCAAUGAAGUGAAGUGUAAUUUUUGUUCCAACGAUCUAUAAGUAUCUGAUGAACAACAUUGUAGAAUGAUGAUUCCUCUUCUUGAACUUUUUUCUCAUGCUUAUAAAUUAUUUCUCUCACUUUUCAUUCAUUGUAUCCCACAUGUCUUAAACCAAGUGAAGGCGAGGUUCAUCCAUAUCUUUCAUUCUACCAGAAUAAUCAACUACUUUUAAAAAUAUUUGUCCAUUCUCGGUCGUCACCAUAAAAUUAAUUAGUGGUCUUCUUUGUGGAUCACUCCAUUCAUCACUUACAAUGGUAUAUCCUUUUUCUGCCCAUGUGCCCUUAAUUGGAUUUAAUAAGCUUUCCACACUUUUUCUCUCUUUUUUAAGAAGAGUGGUUUUCAACUUGUUAUAACCGGGAGGCAGAUAUGCCGAAAUUCGAUUAUUGGAAGCAAGAGUAUAAGAACUAAUGUAAUAAGGAUUUCUUGCAAGAGUAAAAGUCAAACCACUUGAAUAAAACAUUCUAGCAAUUUCGGAAUCCAAUUGGUCACGUGUAGUCACAUUAAAAAUAUUUUCUAUUGCAUUAUUCUUUCUUUUCUUUUCCUCUAAAGUAUAACAAUCCUUAGCACUUAUAUCAUCCGACGGGAAUGACACUCUUUUCCCCGCCUUAGUUUUUAUUCUCAACUUUUCUUCAUCUUCCAUUUUUUGCAUUUUACUUGUAUCUUUCAUGUUUACUUUUCCACAAUCCCCAAUUCCAUAGCCUCGUAAUUUUAACAAAUGUGUCAUCACUCUUGUGUAUGAACUUGUCUUAGUUGCAUUACAAAAAUUGUAUUGCCAAAUAAUGUUACCACCCUUUUCAUUAAAUUUAUCAAGUUUUGUAACAUAUUUCCAAAGAGGUUUAGACAAAUUAUCAUUCAUAGCAUUACCACUCAUAACAUCAAAAGAAAAAUAAUUUCAAAUACUUAAAUAAGAUAGGAGUGUAUUACCCGAAACUUGAAAAAAUAUCUUCUUUUUGAUCUUGCAAAUGAUUCUUCAAAUGUGGAUUGAUGAAAUUUUUGAAAAAGAUGAAAUAACAAAGAAAAAUUGAAAUGGGUUUUUUGAAAUUUUCUUGCAAUUUUCGUAAGUAGCAGUGAGGAAGAAAAUGUGUUUGAGUUCUUAUAUAAGUAUGACUUUUUGUUGAAGGGUAAAAUGGUACAAAUUGAUUCAAAUAAAAUAUUCUAUAUUAUCUUAUCAAAAAUUACAACUGCGGAAAGAUACAAAACGUACAAGAUUUUACAAGUGAUGUGCCUUAAAAUUUAAAAUUUGCAUUGGUAAAGGGUGACUUUUCAUUUCUGGUAGUCUUUUCCUCUUCUCCUCUCUUCUUUCUUUUCUUCCCCAGACAAGUCAAUUCCAGUGGUUGCAGGAUAACAAUCUCUUCCUCUUCUCUAUUCUCUCUUUUUUCUUCCUUCCACAGACCGCCAAACUUCCGUCAGCUACAUUUCUUCCUCCCAUUUAUUUUUCUUUGUUGCUUCUCUUUAAGUCUGUUGCCCACCAAUGACUCUGACAUGCGUCGGCAACGUGUCAUAGGAAUAUCAGUGUCUAAUACAUGUCGGACACCGAUAUGUUGUCGCCGGCAGCAUGUCAGUGCUUCUGAGAUACCGUCCUUCAUGAAAACAUAGAAAAAUCAUUACACAACAAAACCAUGGGCAACUUGAAUAACGACAUAGUUCUUGAGGUGAUCUUGUGCUUUCGUCCAAGAGAUGCAGUUAGAUGUAAGAGCCUAAACAAGAAUUUCAAUGCCUAUAUCUCUAAUAAAAGAUUUGCACAUGAACACUUUGUUAAAUCGAUUCACAAAGUGUGUAACCUCAUUCACUUCUCGAAUACUUCUCCUAGCGUUUUUUACCAACUUCAGCUAGACCCUCCUUACCCUCUUGACAUGUUAGAGGUUUAUGAAAUCCUACCCAUUCAAGUUCCUAUAUUGGCCUUGUGUGGUGGCUUUCUUCUCUACAUUUUAAGAUACAGGAACUAUUGUGUGUUUUCAACCCUAUCAUCGGGGAAUUCCAAAUGGUGUCAAACAAAAAUCAUGAUGGCUGGAUUGUUGGGCCAGUUGGAAUGGCUGUUGAUUCCAGCACCGAUUCAUUUACAAUCAGAUUGAUAGCAAUCCAUGUAAAAGAAGACAAAUCCCAGGUGAAUCAAGUGUCUAAAUUCACAGCGUUUCCAGUUGGUUAAAAUAAGUGGGAAGAAAUCAAUAUAUAAUUUGUUUGCAAAUCAAGUAUGUUCAGCAUAAAUACUCAACCUGUUUACUUCCAUGGCUCAGAGAAGAUGGCGAUAUUCUUGCUUUCAACAUGAAAAAAUACCAAGCUAGAAUCAUUUAGGGACCUGGUCAGACAACCUCUAUAAUGCGUAUGACCUUAGAAGUACUGACACGCUGCUUGCGACAACAUAUCGAUGUCCGACACAUAUCGGACACUGAUACGCCUUUAACACGUUGCCAACGCGUGUUGGAGCCAUUGCUGGGCAGCUGACUUGAAGAGAAGCAAAAAAGAAAAAUAAAUGGGAGGAAGAAAUGCAACCGACAGAAGUCUGACGGUCUGGGGAGGAAGAAAAAGAGAAGGAAAGAAAAAAGAGAGAAGAGGAAGAGACUGCUGGCCUGAAAAAAUACAACCGCUGGAAUUGACUUGUUUGGGGAAGGAAAGAAGACAGAAAAGGAAAGAAAGAGAGAAGAGAAGAGAAGAGAUUGCUGGAAAUGAAAAGUUACCUUUUACCAAUGCAAAUUUUAAAUUGUAGGGCCCACCACUUGUAAAAUUUUGUACGUUUUGUAUCUUUCUACAGUUGUAAUUUUUAAUAAGAUAAUAUAUAAUAUUUUAUUUGAAUCAAGUUGUACCAUUUUACCCUUCAACAAAAAGUCAUAUAAGAACUUAAACACAUUUUCUUCCUCACUGCUACUUACGAAAAUUACAAGAAAAAUUCAGAAAAUCCAUUUCAAUUUUUCUUUGUUAUUUCAUCUUUUUCAAAUCAAUCCACAUUUGAAGAAUCAUUUGCAAGAUCAAGAAGAAGAUAUUUUUCAAAUUUCGGGUAACAUCUCUCCUAUCUUAUUUAAGUAUUUGAAAUUAUUUUUUCUUUUGAUGUUAUGAGUGGUAAUUGUUGUGCAUGUGGCUCAUAUAGAGUGAAACACAGUUCCUAGAUCAAAUGGGCCGAUGUCGGAGCGGAGUGUAGUGAGAGGAUAGGAGCGAUGGCAUCGGCCUUGUGCGGGUGGUGGGGGG